CAGCGGUGCUUCUUUCGAAUGAGAUGCGGAAGAUAACUCAGAAGUCCCGCACGCAAAGUCGGGAUGUAAGGAUGGUGGUGAGUGCGAAGAAGGAGGUAACAAUAUCGGCGACCGAAGAUCGACAGAAGAAGUCGCUAUCUGAGGUGGAGUGCUUCUACUGUCACAGGAAAGAGCAUAUCAAGCACAACUGUCGAAAACUUCAGGAUAAUAUAAAGGAGUUAAAGCAACAGAAGGAGAAAACUAUCGUGAACCAGGAUGAGACGGUAUCAGCGAUGGCACAGGCGAUAGAGUCGGAGACGAUCGAUUCUGAUGUGCUGUAUGCGGCGAUCGAAGGUGCCAAAAUUUUGGAUGACGCAUGGGUGCUAGAUUCGGCGUG
rnacentral:lncRNA from 1 species